rnacentral:sRNA from 1 species
GGGUAUGAAGCUGAUCUGGCUGCGACAUCUUCACCCCACUGAUCGCCGGGGUUGAUUUGGCCGGUCUGGCUGGCUAAGUAGUGUCCCCUUCUUCUCUCAUUGCUGCAUAUGCGUCCCUCCCCAAGCUGUGAACUCGACGGAAGAGGACGACCUUCCUCAACGGAGGAGAGGAUCGUUCUUCGGUCAAGGGUAUAUGAGCCCCUGCGUUCCCCUGCUAGAGCCUCUGAAAAUCUCUCAGGAAAAGCCUUCUAACUAGUUUCUGUU